UGGGGAAUAUUGGACAAUGGGCGAAAGCCUGAUCCAGCCAUGCCGCGUGUGUUAAGAAGGUCUUCGGAUUGUAAAGCACUUUAAGUUGGGAGGAAGGGCAGUAUGCGAAUACCUUGCUUUUUUUACGUUACCGACAGAAUAAGCACCGGCUAACUCUGUGCCAGCAUCCGCGGUAAUACAGAUGGUGCAUGCGUUUUUCGGAAUUACUGGGCGUAAAGCGCUCGUAGGUGGUUCGUUAUGUUUAUUGUUAAAGCCCCGGGCUCAACAUGGGAACUGCAUACAAAACAGGCGAGCAAGAGUAGGGCAGAGGGUGGUGGAAAUUCAUGUGUAGCGGAGAAAAGAGUAGAGAAAGGAAGGAAAACGAGUGGCGAAGGCGACCAACUGGGGUCAAAAAGAAAAUGAGGUGAGAAAGAGUGGGGAGCAAACAGG
rnacentral:rRNA from 1 species